CUGAGCCCAGGCAACAGAGUGAGAGACUCUGUCUCAAAAAAAUGCUUUUGCAAAAUUCCUAAACAAACAACAGAAAACCAGCUGCAGCCUCAGCUGUAUCUGGAGGGCAGAGUCACGUCUCUUGUGAUAACCCCUGCUCCGAAAAAAGACAAAAACCAACUCCUGGACUUUGACAUCCUUACAAUGUUUAUCAUCUACCUGCUGCCGCUUUGGCUGUCAACUGAGGGCAUCACUAUUUCCCUUCUCUUUGUCCUCCUUAAAAUCAGCAGGGCACCUGGCCUCGCUGCGGACACCCUCUCUCUUUCUUCGGGACGCCGUCUCCCUGCCCUCUCCCCGCCUCCUCUCUUUCCCUUUCUCUCUCUCUCAUUCUCUCUGUCCUUCUGGAAGGAUGCAAUAAACGUUUUUACUUUUAUAUUUCAGUCUGUUUAGUCGGUGUUCUCCAGAGAGAGCAGAUAGGGUCUAGAUAGGUAGGUGGAUGGAUAGCUAGAUACGGAUGGAUAGGCAGGUAGGUAGAUAGGAAGGUAGAUGAAUAGACAGGUAGCUAGAUAUGGCUGGCUGGAUGGAUAGGCAGGUAGGUAGAUAGGUAGGUAGAUGAAUAGACAGGUAGCUAGAUAUGGCUGGAUGGAUGGAUAGGCAGGUAGGUAGAUAGGAAGGUAGAUGAAUAGACAGGUAGCUAGAUAUGGCUGGAUGGAUGGAUAGGCAGGUAGGCAGAUAGGAAGGUAGAUGAAUAGACAGGUAGAUAUGGCUGGAUGGAUGGAUAGGCAGGUAGGUAGAUAGGAAGGUAGAUGGAUAGACAGGUAGCUAGAUAUGGCUGGAUGGAUGGAUAGGCAGGUAGGCAGAUAGGAAGGUAGAUGAAUAGACAGGUAGCUAGAUAUGGCUGGAUGGAUGGAUAGGCAGGUAGG